rnacentral:tRNA from 1 species
GAGAUGAGAAGGUCAAAUCCCUGACUUCUAAUCAGGAAAUCAACAGUUCGAGUCUGUUGUCAUCUCU